CGUUUAUAUUUGCUGUUGAUGUAAACGUUGUUUUCGACAUUUUUGUGACAAUUUGGAGGCAAAAAAGAAAAAGCUAUCCCCACCACUGAUUUUCAACACAUUUGUAAACACUAGAGUGGCGCGUGGUUUGUUUCCACGAAAUAGACGAUUGUUUUUUUGUUUAUAUUUUCCUUUUGUAUAUAACAAAAACAAAUAAAUGUUUAACUAAUUUCGAUCUUUUUUUAUCUUUUUUUGCAUUCCAAUGAGGAAGCAUUGGAGUUCUUUGUUUCUAAUCGUCUUAAAUUAAGCAGUUCAUAAUUCUGGUAAUUUUAUAAUUGUUUAAACAUUUCUAAUUUCUUUUGGGUGGGAUCCUUGGGCGAGACAUUUUCAGUAAAAACAAAUCGAACUCGAUUUAGGGAUCGAUUUAUCAUCGAGAGGCCGGUCUUUCUUUGAGGGAUCAAUUUCUCAUCGGAGAACCCAUUUCUCGGAAUAAGGGAUCAAUUUAUCAUCGUUAGACCGAUUCAUCAGCGAGGAUUCGGUAAAUCAGCAUGGGUUCGAUUUAUUAUUAAUAGUUCAUUUCAUCAUUGAGAGAUUUAGAUUUUUACAUGGUAGUUUUGAAAUCUUUCUACAUUAAAUAAGAUUCUUAGGUUAUGCAUAGAAGGGUAUAACCUAACAAGUUUAUACAUUGAUAUAAUAGGCAUAUAGUGGGAAGUAGUUAUCUUAUUGCGCUUAUAGUUCAUAUUUUAUCCAUAUCUAUCGCUGAAGUCGCAUACACUAGAAGCGACAGUUAGUGGAAAAUCUUAAUUGUUUUAAUCAAUUUAGUUGGUAUUAUUUAAUAUUGAUUUAAUAUUUAAAUUAAAAAGUUUUAUUUCUUGUUUUUUAAAUUUGUUUAAAAUAAAUAUUAAAAUUAUAUCUAAAAAAUAAAUUUUACAAUUAUUUAAUUAAAUAAAACCGAUCUUUAUCAGUGUAUAUCGCAUGUCUUAUAAAAAGUUACAGAUAUUAGAUCACUUGUAAAAAUAUAUUUUAUAAAACGUUACUUUAUAACUCAUUUUAUUUUUUCGAUCAUUUUUACAAUUUUAUUUGCACAAAAUAAAUUGAAGAAGUUAAAAAGUUACGGCUCUUCGUUACAUUUCGCUCGAAGUAUGUGACUUCAGGAACAUUACAAAAUAUGAAUUACGAAAUAUGAAUUACAAGCGCAAGCGGGAAACAGUCGCCGCUAUGAGUCUAUCGUAUCAGUCUAUAAGUUUGUCAAGUUAUAUCCCACUCGUACGUAACAUAACAAUUGAAUUAGUAUGAGUUAGAAUAGAAAGUAGGUUCGAACUCAACUUUUCAUUUUUUCACAUUUAUAUCCUUUAAUAAUGGCAUGUCUAUUGCAGUAAUCCGUGAUAGAUACGAUGCAGCACUGGUACGCAUUUAUUGUACGAUAUAAAUACAUAAAAGAUAAUAAAUAUAAUUAAUAUGAAAAUUAGUGAAAUCACAAAAAAAAACAAUGCUGAAAAUCUUACUUAAUAGAAUGUGUGGAAAUGAACUAAUGUUUUGAAUAAUAUAUAAUUGUAUAAAUAAUAUAUAAUAUAUAAAUA